UACACAUCAGCAACCAGUAGAUAUGCUCACUAAAGCCAUUACGACAAAGAAAUUUGAGAAGUUCAAGGCUCAAUUGAAAAUCACAAAUUAAGAGAAAAAUUUGUGAGUAAUCUAUGAUUUUCUGAAAAAUAUCAGUGUGGGGCCCAGUCAACAGUCCAGGUGGCAUUCUAGAAAAGUCAAAGGUUCUGAAAAAUCUCCUUAAUGGCAAGCAACAAGUUCCUAAAUCAGUUUGUUAAGUCUUUAAUAUUGUAAAGAAUAAUAAAUGAUUAUUCUAGUUCCAAAAUGAGUUUUUUGACUUCCAAAGUUGUAUUUAAUGCUUGAUUUUCAUCCACUGGCCUUAAAUAUUGUAAGCUAAUAAUAGAAAACAUGUGAAAAAAAAGUAAAAAAAAAAUUGUAGGAGCAAUAGCUCUGCAAAUUCAGCUUCCUAUUUUCAGUUUUCAGCAAGUAUUCUUCAGAUUUUUUUCUAAAUAAACUCCUUCCUACUUGUAAUUACUCUCUUUUACCCAACAUAAUUUACAUAGGAUUUUUCUCUUAAUAGGAUUUUAUGUAUAUCCUAUGUGAUCAAAUCCUACAUUCUAUCAUGAAUUUUAUCCUAAGUUUAUGAAUCCUAGAUAUCCCGACAGACCCUAAGAAAGAACGAUUACUCUUACAAUUCAACACUUGAAGGAGCAACAGAAACCAGCCAAAGUGUUAUUGGUCAACUUCUUUUUGUAUGGCUAGCUAACUUAAAAAAAUAUACCUAUGAUGAUGUUUACAUAACCAGGAGUAACUAUGGAUCUUUACAAAAGAGAACAUAAUAAUGUGGAAUUUUCAAGGGCAUCAUGGUCUUGGAUCUGAAAAUUUUGUAUGAUAACAUGUCCCUUUUAAAAACACCAUACACUGGUUACCAAUAUAACAUAAGCACUUUAUAAUGGGUUAUCUCAAACCAUUUUAACAUCUAUACCCAACUAAUUAUCAAUUCUAAGAGGAGAAAACAGUGGGAUCAGAUUUAUGCAUGGUCAUGUAAAGAUAAACCCACCAUGCAUUACUGGUUAUCCAGCUAUGAGGCUUUUCCAUUUGAAGAAAAUUAACCAAGAAAAUUGAAAAUCCACCUUAUGAUAAUUAAGUUAAAAUUUUCUGAUAUUAUUUAGAUCUGAAAGCAACAAGUCUAUAAGACAUCCUAUUCUUUAGUUUCACUUCAUCACCACUUUUCUCCAAAAGGGUUGCUUGCAACUAUGUUUUCCCUUGUUUCGUAAACAGUAGUUCAAUGAUGACUCAACUACCAAAAGUCAAAUAAAAUAAAAAAUUUGAAACACCAAGACAGAAAUUGAAACACUUUGGUUUCAGCCACAAACAAUCUAAAAUCUAAAGAAUGCCUUAUAUUUUCAGCCACGACUAACUAUAGGGGCAAAAAUUGUCAUAUAUAUGCCCAAUCUAGGCAAAAACAUN
rnacentral:lncRNA from 1 species